rnacentral:lncRNA from 1 species
GGAUACAGCUACAGAUAAGAGCUCUUGGUUUAUUCCGGUGUUUCAAUAGCUACAGAUGCUGUUGCAAAAUGAGGCAAGAGUGAGUUCUGCCAAGAGCAAUGUCCAUCAUGCAAAAUGCCUACUACCUAGGAGCUUUCAGAAGAAGUAAGACAAAGGCUGAACAUAGAAGUUUGUGUUUCUUUCCUUCAACUGACCCCAUGACAGGAA